AUGAUCAGCCACACUGGAACUGAGACACGGUCCAGACUCCUACGGGAGGCAGCAGUGGGGAAUAUUGCACAAUGGGCGCAAGCCUGAUGCAGCCAUGCCGCGUGUAUGAAGAAGGCCUUCGGGUUGUAAAGUACUUUCAGUCGUGAGGAAGGCGGUGUCGUUAAUAGCGGCAUUAUUUGACGUUAGCUACAGAAGAAGCACCGGCUAACUCCGUGCCAGCAGCCGCGGUAAUACGGAGGGUGCGAGCGUUAAUCGGAAUUACUGGGCGUAAAGCGCAUGCAGGUGGUUUGUUAAGUCAGAUGUGAAAGCCCGGGGCUCAACCUCGGAAUAGCAUUUGAAACUGGCAGACUAGAGUACUGUAGAGGGGGGUAGAAUUUCAGGUGUAGCGGUGAAAUGCGUAGAGAUCUGAAGGAAUACCGGUGGCGAAGGCGGCCCCCUGGACAGAUACUGACACUCAGAUGCGAAAGCGUGGGGAGCAAA
rnacentral:rRNA from 1 species